rnacentral:rRNA from 1 species
AGUGAACGCUGGCGGUAGGCCUAACACAUGCAAGUCGAACGGCAGCACAGUAAGAGCUUGCUCUUACGGGUGGCGAGUGGCGGACGGGUGAGGAAUACAUCGGAAUCUACUUUUUCGUGGGGGAUAACGUAGGGAAACUUACGCUAAUACCGCAUACGACCUACGGGUGAAAGCAGGGGAUCUUCGGACCUUGCGCGAUUGAAUGAGCCGAUGUCGGAUUAGCUAGUUGGCGGGGUAAAGGCCCACCAAGGCGACGAUCCGUAGCUGGUCUGAGAGGAUGAUCAGCCACACUGGAACUGAGACACGGUCCAGACUCCUAUGGGAGGCAGCAGUGGGGAAUAUUGGACAAUGGGCGCAAGCCUGAUCCAGCCAUACCGCGUGGGUGAAGAAGGCCUUCGGGUUGUAAAGCCCUUAUGUUGGGAAAGAAAAGCAGCAGGUUAAUACCCCGCUGUUCUGACGGUACCCAAAGAAUAAGCACCGGCUAACUUCGUG